AGGGUUUGAUUAUGGCUCAGAUUGAACGCUGGCGGCAGGCUUAACACAUGCAAGUCGAGCGGAGAUGAGGUGCUUGCACUUAUCUAGCGGCGGACGGGUGAGUAAUGCUUAGGAAUCUGCCUAUUAGUGGGGGACAACAUUCCGAAAGGAAUGCUAAUACCGCAUACGCCCUACGGGGGAAAGCAGGGGAUCUUCGGACCUUGCGCUAAUAGAUGAGCCUAAGUCGGAUUAGCUAGUUGGUGGGGUAAAGGCCUACCAAGGCGACGAUCUGUAGCGGGUCUGAGAGGAUGAUCCGCCACACUGGGACUGAGACACGGCCCAGACUCCUACGGGAGGCAGCAGUGGGGAAUAUUGGACAAUGGGCGGAAGCCUGAUCCAGCCAUGCCGCGUGUGUGAAGAAGGCCUUUUGGUUGUAAAGCACUUUAAGCGAGGAGGAGGCUACUUAGAUUAAUACUCUAGGAUAGUGGACGUUACUCGCAGAAUAAGCACCGGCUAACUCUGUGCCAGCAGCCGCGGUAAUACAGAGGGUGCGAGCGUUAAUCGGAUUUACUGGGCGUAAAGCGUGCGUAGGCGGCUGAUUAAGUCGGAUGUGAAAUCCCUGAGCUUAACUUAGGAAUUGCAUUCGAUACUGGUCAGCUAGAGUAUGGGAGAGGAUGGUAGGAUUCCAGGUGUAGCGGUGAAAUGCGUAGAGAUCUGGAGGAAUACCGAUGGCGAAGGCAGCCAUCUGGCCUAAUACUGACGCUGAGGUACGAAAGCAUGGGGAGCAAACAGGAUUAGAUACCCUGGUAGUCCAUGCCGUAAACGAUGUCUACUAGCCGUUGGGGCCUUUGAGGGCUUUAGUGGCGCAGCUAACGCGAUAAGUAGACCGCCUGGGGAGUACGGUCGCUAGGUAAAAACUCAAAUGAAUUGACGGGGGCCCGCACAAGCGUGCAUGGCUGUCGUCAGCUCGUGUCGUGAGAUGUUGGGUUAAGUCCCGGAACGAGCGCAACCCUUGUCAUUAGUUGCUACAUUUAGUUGGGCACUCUAAUGAGACUGCCGGUGACAAACCGGAGGAAGGUGGGGAUGACGUCAAGUCCUCAUGGCCCUUAUAGGUGGGGCUACACACGUCAUACAAUGGCUGGUACAAAGGGUUGCCAACCCGCGAGGGGGAGCUAAUCCCACAAAGCCAGUCGUAGUCCGGAGCGUAGUCUGCAACUCGACUACGUGAAGUCGGAAUCGCUAGUAAUCGUGGAUCAGAAUGUCACGGUGAAUACGUUCCCGGGUCUUGUACACACCGCCCGUCACACCAUGGGAGCGGGUUCUGCCAGAAGUAGUUAGCCUAACCGUAAGGAGGGCGAUUACCACGGCAGGGUUCGUGACUGGGGUGAAGUCGUAACAAGGUAGCCGUAUCGGAAGGUGCGGCUGGAUCACCUCCUUUCU
rnacentral:rRNA from 1 species